rnacentral:lncRNA from 1 species
GUUUUCCGCGUGGCCAUGGUGAAAAAUAGCUGGAAGACCCACACAUACAGGAAAUUGACAGAGGUGUUUUCAGACUUGGAGCAUACAGGACGGGUGUUUGUGUCUUAGAGGCAACGACCAAAACCUGCAAUGAUACAUACAGAUCGUAGAUGGGCACCUUUUCAGAUUUUGAGCGAUUAUCUGAACAUACAUACAGAUCAUGGACGGAAUUGCUGUUAGAUCUGGUGCGUAAAUGAUGUGUAUGUU